UACGUAGGUGGCAAGCGUUGUCCGGAUUUAUUGGGUUUAAAGGGUGCGUAGGCGGUUCAAUAAGUCAGUGGUGAAAUACGGCAGCUCAACUGUCGAGGUGCCAUUGAUACUGUGGAACUUGAGUACAGACGAGGUAGGCAGAAUUGACGGUGUAGCGGUGAAAUGCUUAGAUAUCGUCAAGAACACCGAUAGCGAAGGCAGCUUACUAGGCUGUAACUGACGCUGAGGCACGAAAGUGUGGGGAUCAAACAGG
rnacentral:rRNA from 1 species